rnacentral:rRNA from 1 species
UACGCUGGCGGCACGCCUAACACAUGCAAGUCGAACGAAGUAGCAAUACUUAGUGGCAGACGGGUGAGUAACAUGUAGGUAUCUGCCCUUUGGCCUGGAAUAACACGAGGAAACUUGUGCUAAUACCGGAUAAGUCUUUACGGAGAAAGCUUUAUGCACCAUUGGAUGAGCCUGCACUUGAUUAGUUUGUUGGUGGGGUAAUGGCCUACCAAGACUGUGAUCAAUAGCUGAUUUGAGAGGAUGAUCAGCCACAUUGGGACUGAGACACGGCCCAAACUCCUACGGGAGGCAGCAGUGGGGAAUCUUGCACAAUGGAGGAAACUCUGAUGCAGCGAUGCCGCGUGAGUGAAGAAGGCCUUUGGGUUGUAAAGCUCUUUCGUCGGGGAAGAAAAUGACUGUACCCGAAUAAGAAGGUCCGGCUAACUUCGUGCCAGCAGCCGCGGUAAUACGAAGGGACCUAGCGUAGUUCGGAAUUACUGGGCUUAAAGAGUUCGUAGGUGGUUGAAAAAGUUAGUGGUGAAAUCCCAGAGCUUAACUCUGGAACUGCCAUUAAAACUUUUCAGCUAGAGUAUGAUAGAGGAAAGCAGAAUUUCUAGUGUAGAGGUGAAGUUCGUAGAUAUUAGAAAGAAUACCAAUUGCGAAGGCAGCUUUCUGGAUCAUUACUGACACUGAGGAACGAAAGCAUGGGUAGCGAAGAGGAUUAGAUACCCUCGUAGUCCAUGCCGUAAACGAUGUGUGUUAGACGUUGGAAAUUUAUUUUCAGUGUCGCAGGGAAACCGAUAAACACACCGCCUGGGGAGUACGACCGCAAGGUUAAAACUCAAAUGAAUUGACGGGGACCCGCACAAGUAGUGGAGCAUGUGGUUUAAUUCGAAGAUACGCGCAGAACCUUACCAACACUUGACAUGUUCGUCGCGACUCUAAGAGAUUAGAGUUUUCGGUUCGGCCGGACGAAACACAGGUGCUGCAUGGCUGUCGUCAGCUCGUGUCGUGAGAUGUUGGGUUAAGUCCCGCAACGAGCGCAACCCUCACUUUUAGUUGCCAUCAUUAAGUUGGGCACUCUGAAAGAACUGCCAGUGAUAAGCUGGAGGAAGGUGGGGAUGACGUCAAGUCCUCAUGGCCCUUACGUGUUGGGCUACACACGUGCUACAAUGGUAUCUACAACAGGAAGCAAAACUGCGAAGUUAAGCAAAUCCCUAAAAGAUACCUCAGUUCGGAUUGCACUCUGCAACUCGAGUGCAUGAAGCUGGAAUUACUAGUAAUCGUGGAUCAGCGUGCCACGGUGAAUGCGUUCCCGGGUCCUGUACACACCGCCCGUCACACCAUGGGAGUUGGUUCUACCUUAAGGCAAGGUUUCAAACCCUUGACCACGGUAUAGUCAGCGA